UGGUAAUGCCGGAUGCUCCAGUUGAUCGCAUGGUCUUCUGGGAAAGCUUUCGCGGUAUGGGAUGGGGUCGCGUCCUAUCAGCUUGACGGCGGGGUAACGGCCCACCGUGGCUUCGACGGGUAGCCGGCCUGAGAGGGCGACCGGCCACAUUGGGACUGAGAUACGGCCCAGACUCCUACGGGAGGCAGCAGUGGGGAAUAUUGCACAAUGGGCGCAAGCCUGAUGCAGCGACGCCGCGUGAGGGAUGGAGGCCUUCGGGUUGUAAACCUCUUUUAUCGGGGAGCAAGCGAGAGUGAGUUUACCCGUUGAAUAAGCACCGGCUAACUACGUGCCAGCAGCCGCGGUAAUACGUAGGGUGCAAGCGUUAUCCGGAAUUAUUGGGCGUAAAGGGCUCGUAGGCGGUUCGUCGCGUCCGGUGUGAAAGUCCAUCGCUUAACGGUGGAUCCGCGCCGGGUACGGGCGGGCUUGAGUGCGGUAGGGGAGACUGGAAUUCCCGGUGUAACGGUGGAAUGUGUAGAUAUCGGGA
rnacentral:rRNA from 1 species